GAUGAACGCUGGCGGCGUGCCUAAUACAUGCAAGUCGAGCGAACAGACGAGGAGCUUGCUCCUCUGACGUUAGCGGCGGACGGGUGAGUAACACGUGGAUAACCUACCUAUAAGACUGGGAUAACUUCGGGAAACCGGAGCUAAUACCGUAUAACAUGUUGAACCGCAUGGUUCAACAGUGAAAGACGGUCUUGCUGUCACUUAUAGAUGGAUCCGCGCCGCAUUAGCUAGUUGGUAAGGUAACGGCUUACCAAGGCAACGAUGCGUAACCGACCUGAGAGGGUGAUCGGCCACACUGGAACUGAGACACGGUCCAGACUCCUACGGGAGGCAGCAGUAGGGAAUCUUCCGCAAUGGGCGAAAGCCUGACGGAGCAACGCCGCGUGAGUGAAGAAGGUCUUCGGAUCGGAAAACUCUGUUAUUAGGGAAGAACAAAUGUGUAAGUAACUAUGCACGUCUUGACGGUACCUAAUCAGAAAGCCACGGCUAACUACGUG
rnacentral:rRNA from 1 species